AGGACAAAGGGCUGUGGAAUUCAAGGCAGAUGGAGGGAGGCUUGCAAACAUGAAGAGUCUGGCGCAGCGUCCAGCUGCAGCGAUUACCCGAGCCUAGCGGCUUUAUUCUGUUACAAGGGAUGGAUUGCCAAAUAGGGAAGAAGGCAGGGGAAUAAUUCAGAAAUGAAGGGAGAAGUCGGAAGCAAAGAACACCAUUAGGAAGCUGUCCACAGAGAGAUAACGAAGGCUUGGACCAAGAAGGGAAAGGAGGGACGAGGCAAAAGUAAAACUGACAGGAUUUGACAAGUGAACAGAAGACAGGCCUCAAAAUCAGUACUGACUGGAGCAAAAAACAAAGAUACGGCUUUUGGAGGAGGCUGAUGAGGAGAGGUCAGAAUAGCAUCUGCUUCCUUUCUCUGGAAACCUGGUCAAAGCAGGGCAGGUGUAAGCUCAUCCCCAUGAAUGCUGACUAUUCCAGGGGAACUCAUAAGGGAAAGCAAGAGGGACAAAGCGAGUGAGUGCAGCUCUGGCCCUGCUGCUUGUGGUACAAGCAGAGGGCAGAGGCAGGCAGAGGGCACCAGGGUGAUUGCAAUGGGAGUCAUGUCCACGAAGUGAGCAAUGAUGGAACGCUCUACAAAGGAGGCUGAGCUUCUCUUUCUUAACAAAGCCACAGCUUCAGACCUCCACCCUCACACAUCCACAGCCUGGCACACGCCAGGAGACUGACACAGC